AUAAAAAGGGAGAAAAUGAAAAAAAAAAUAAAUAAAAAGACUGCAGGCUAAUCCAAUCAACAAAUAAACGAAGAAAUCGGUUUUACCGAUUCUCUAUGAUUCGAUACACGUAAAUUUGAUUACAUUCGUUUGAAAACCAAAAUAAAUUAAAAUCAUUCUCAAAAUAUCUGAGUAUGUCUUUAAUUCAAUCGUUGGGAUCCAUUGAUUUGGAGCAAGAAUCCUACCCGCAGUAUGGAGAUUUCUUUGUUCUUCCAUUUUUCGCUCUGCUUUUCCCUACUAUCCGGUUUUUGCUUGACAGAUUGGUUUUUCAGAAACUUGGAAUGCGAUUAAUAUAUGGAAAGGGAAAGGGAGUAGCAGAAAAUGAGUCGAAUGAGCAGAAAAAAAAGAUAGCAAAGUUCAAGGAGUCAGCAUGGAAAUGUAUUUAUUAUCUUUCUGCUGAGGUUUUGGCACUUGCUGUUACAUACAACGAGCCUUGGUUUACAGAGACAAAAUAUUUUUGGGUGGGACCUGGAGAACAAGUAUGGCCUGACCAAACAUAUAAGCUGAAACUGAAGGGCCUGUAUAUGUAUGUUGGUGGAUUCUAUACAUACUCCAUAUUCGCUCUGAUAUUUUGGGAAACGAGGCGCUCUGACUUUGGGGUCUCUAUGAGCCAUCAUGUUGCAACUUUUAUUCUGAUCGUGUUGUCAUACGUAUUCAGAUUUGCACGAGCAGGUUCGGUUGUUUUAGCUCUUCAUGAUGCCAGUGAUGUAUUUCUUGAAGUAGGGAAGAUGUCCAAGUAUAGUGGUGCAGAAGCACUGGCUAGCUUCUCGUUUGUUCUUUUUGUGAUAUCCUGGGUGAUACUUCGUUUGAUAUACUAUCCAUUCUGGAUACUCUGGAGCACAAGCUAUGAAGUUGUCCAGACGCUGGACAAGGAUAAACACAAAUUCGAGGGACCAAUCUAUUACUACCUUUUCAAUUCCCUUCUUUUUUCUUUGCUUGUUCUUCAUAUCUACUGGUGGGUGUUGAUGUACCGGAUGCUUGUCAAGCAAAUCCAAGAAAGGGGUCGUGUCAGUGAAGAUGUUAGGUCUGAAUAGUUCAAUGGUCCUUCUGUAAAUUAAUCCGAAAGUCAUCAAUCAAUCUGGGAGAAGCCCAUCAGGCUCUUUGCAUUCCCCCUCUGUUUUUUUGGAAAGGAAGCUUAUGCUGUGGAAUACUGUCUCUCUGUUUCCUUUCGUCUGAAACCCGAAUUCUGAAGACGAAGAUUCUCAUGAAGAUUGACGAAGUAAAAUAUAGUCAGUGCGUUAUUUACAUGAUUGUACAUGAUCCAAGAGCAGCCUACGUUCAUCGAAACAUUCCUUGACUUUGUAAUGAGCAGAAGAUUUACUCUCAAUAAAAAAACUUGCAUCAACUGAAGAUUACCUGAAAAAACAGCCCUUGUCGAAGUGGUAAGCCUGAUUCUUCAUUUUAAAUCUAUGCGAUCCUCGAUAUAUUAGAGCAGUGCCAUUGCCUCUAAAAAAAAGAGAGGAAAAAACGUUCUCCUAUUAAAUAUGUGCAAUGAUGGAUUAAACCAGGAUUUGGACAUUUUAGUCAGUCAAUCUUGAAACUUGCACUGCAAAUUAUGCAGCACACACUUUGUACAAUCUUUCUUACCCCAGUUUUUAUUGAAAUUAAAUUCGGCUACAUGCUUGAUGAUAUUAUGAUGAA